rnacentral:lncRNA from 1 species
CGUUGAUUGGACUACUGUUUCAUGAGUUCUUGAAUCUUUGACCAUAUACAUGUAGACUGUGGUCUAAGUUGACCUGAACUAGUUUUAUCGAUAAAAUUGAUGAUGAUCGGUGGAAAUUUUCUAUAGGUUGUCAAACCUAAUUUUCGAAGUAGUUUGUAGGGGGACUGAUGGGGGAGAGGACCAAAAAGGUUUAAACGGUUGCUGAAUGGCCAUGGCGGAAAGCCUGGAGGAAAUUUCCGCUGGGGGACGAUCAUGGAAAGGAGAUUUUUGAAAGCAACAAGUAUUGUUAAAUGUUUUCAUGAUGCUAGAGCUCAAGCGUGAGGGUUUACCAUACACAAGGG